CUUCCGCCGGCGACCGGCGCACGGGUGAGUAACACGUAUGCAACCUGCCCCUGUCAGGGGGACAACCCGCCGAAAGGCGGGCUAAACCCGCGUACAUGCCACCGGGGCAUCCCGGAGGCAGGAAAGGCUUCGGCCGGACAGGGAUGGGCAUGCGGCGCAUUAGGCAGUAGGCGGGGUAACGGCCCACCUAACCGACGAUGCGUAGGGGUUCUGAGAGGAAGGUCCCCCACACUGGUACUGAGACACGGACCAGACUCCUACGGAAGGCAGCAG
rnacentral:rRNA from 1 species